rnacentral:rRNA from 1 species
UACAGAGACUGCAAGCGUUAUUCGGAUUCACUGGGCGUAAAGGGUGCGCAGGCGGCCGUGUGUGUGAGGCGUGAAAGCCUGGAGCUUAACUCCAGAAUUGCACCUCAAACUACACGGCUAGAGCAUUGGAGAGGGUAGCAGAAUUCACGGUGUAGCAGUGAAAUGCGUAGAUAUCGUGAGGAAUACCAGAGGCGAAGGCGGCUACCUGGACAAUUGCUGACGCUCAGGCACGAAAGCCGUGGGGGAGCAAAAGGAUGA